GGCGGCGGCGCCGGCCCCAGCUCCGGAGUCGCAGCAGCACAAUGUUUAAAAUGCUAGACAGGUGAAUGAUCACACCUAAAUUGGAAGCAAUGCUGAGAACUUCCUAGGAAUGAACACAGCUUCUGCUAAAAGAGCUGAAAUGUAUUGGUGCUUAUCAGCUGCCUAGGAUAUCCUCUGGCUAGGAUGUCCUUCAUGGAUUUUUUGAAGUGUUCCUGAUAUCUGGGAUAAAUAUCUUGAGGGAAGAGUUCCUUGUAAAUUGAUCACUCUCUAGGGAAGGGAACCAGCAUGUGCAAGGAAUUGGAACUUGGUAUUAAACAUCUGUCCAUGAUGUGAUGAGUGGCUGAUUACUGACUUCACCUUGGAUAAUUUCCACUCUGCACUAUCUUAACUUAAAAAUUGAUAAGAUUGAGACAAGUAAUGGCUGAAACUACAGAACUUCAACAAUCAUGUUUAAAUGUGCAUCUAGCCAUUUUGUUGAACUGAUGUUUCAUAAUAAAACCUUCUGUAAUCUU